GACGAACGCUGGCGGCGUGCCUAAUACAUGCAAGUAGAACGCUGAAGAGAGGAGCUUACUCUUCUUGGAUGAGUUGCGAACGGGUGAGUAACGCGUGGGUAACCUGCCUUGUAGCGGGGGAUAACUAUUGGAAACGAUAGCUAAUACCGCAUAACAAUGGAUGACACAUGUCAUUUAUUUGAAAGGGGCAAUUGCUCCACUACAAGAUGGACCUGCGUUGUAUUAGCUAGUAGGUGAGGUAAUGGCUCACCUAGGCGACGAUACAUAGCCGACCUGAGAGGGUGAUCGGCCACACUGGGACUGAGACACGGCCCAGACUCCUACGGGAGGCAGCAGUAGGGAAUCUUCGGCAAUGGGGGCAACCCUGACCGAGCAACGCCGCGUGAGUGAAGAAGGUUUUCGGAUCGUAAAGCUCUGUUGUAAGUCAAGAACGGGUGUGAGAGUGGAAAGUUCACACUGUGACGGUAGCUUACCAGAAAGGGACGGCUAACUACGUG
rnacentral:rRNA from 1 species